GUGAUUUACAGCUAGAGGGAUAGGCGCUGUCCCGGAGCCCGUCCUGGGCCAGGGAGCAGGAGAGGGAGGGACUACAGUUCCCGACGCGCUGCGGGGCGGGCGGAGAUCGUGCGCUUCGGCGCCAGUUGCACGGCCUUAGCAGCCAGUGGCGGCUCCCCUGCUCCUGUAACAGUCCCCUUGUCUUCUGACCUUUCGCUCCUCGGUCAUGUGUCCUCGCCGGUCGCCGCGGCAGCCAGUGAUGCCCGAGCGGCGGGUUCCCAGGCCCAGGUGUGGGCGCCACCGCCCACCAUGCGCCAAGCCCAGAGCCUGGUUGAAUCGUUCGCCACCUUGUCUACCCAUUUUGGCCAUUAUCCUGCCACCUCCAAAUCCUGUUUUUGACACUUCUCGGGAGAGAGAGAAAACGGAAAGAUAAAGGAAUAAACUCCUCGUGGUCGUAGUUAGUGGGUAAAUUCAGAUCUCGUUUGAACCGAGGUUUUUCUUAUCUCCAGCCACCGUAUCCACCACCACCAGAAUCGUCUUUUUAGUCAUCACAGCUGGUCGCCGUCAGUACCUUGUUCAGAAGCCUCUCGCAGCUUCCAUCGUGUGGUUAUACAAUCCAAAUUCCUUAUAAAGUCCAAAUUCAAGAGGAGGAAUGCACGUUUAGUUAAGUUAAUGUCUAGACCUUACCAGCCAAUUUCUAGCUCCUCAGUAUGGAAAUUGCAACUGAAAACACCCCUUCCAAAAAAAGCAGUCUGCAUUUUUCUCUGAGUUUUCUUCUCCAAAUUUCGCACCCCUGACCUUGCUUACACACUCUGGAUACCACCUGCUGUGGAGUGGCGGAAGCAGACAUCCAGCGAUAGCUAAGUUUCCUGUCGUUGACACCCAAGCAAGACAGGCGUGUACCUAACUGAGGACCUGCCGGUGAUAGAAGUCUCAGCUUUUCUCAGAGACAGAUGAGUCUUCCCUUUAAAUGCUGCAAAGUGCUGCAUAGUAGAUGUUAAAUGAAAGUCAGAAAGAAUCAAAUGUGCUGCAAAUAAUUGAAGGAAGAAAAAAAUCCAAGUUGUUCCUCAGUCUCCCAAAUACGAUGGCUUAAAACUCAGCACAGCCAUUUAGAAUUCACCUUCCAGGCAUUCCCUUGGUGACUUCCAAACAGACGGAUCCUAAAAAUCACCUGGAGCCUUGACAAUCACACAGACUCCUGCGGGGCAGAGCUCAUCUCUCAAACAAAGGGAACAGAAAAUAAAUACAUGCUAAUUCCUGGAGGCCACAGGCUUCACACAUUUAUUUUCUUACUGUGAAGUCUCUCCUGAGAGGCCUGCUCUAAGUCCCUCUCUUUAUUCACCUUCCUCCUGAGGGCCUUGGUGUGCUCUCUCUCUCCCAGCUUAGAGCUUCUGCCCUGCAACUUUCCACUAUUCCAGGACCAAAUGUCCAUGCUCAUUUCAGGAUGGGAUGGCAGAGACCUCAAUGGCCUCAUUCACAGACACCUCUGCUGUCCACAUAACCGACGUUGUGAAUUUUUGUACAAAUCCCACUGGUUACAAA
rnacentral:lncRNA from 1 species